AAGACACUAGUAAAAAUAUUACCCUGCUUUGUCAGGGCAGAAUUGUGGGUUAAACUCCCACGUGUCUUA
rnacentral:tRNA from 1 species